UACGGAGGGGGCUAGCGUUGUUCGGAAUCACUGGGCGUAAAGCGCACGUAGGCGGGUCAGCAAGUCAGGGGUGAAAUCCCGGGGCUUAACCUCGGAACUGCCUUUGAAACUGCUGACCUUGAGGUCGAGAGAGGUGAGUGGAAUUACUAGUGUAGAGGUGAAAUUCGUAGAUAUUAGGAAGAACACCAGUGGCGAAGGCGGCUCACUGGCUCGAUUCUGACGCUGAGGUGCGAAAGCGUGGGGAGCAAACAGG
rnacentral:rRNA from 1 species